rnacentral:rRNA from 1 species
GACGAACCGUGCGAACGUUGUUCGGAAUCACUGGGCGUAAAGGGUGUGUAGGCGGUUCUUUAAGUUUGGUGUGAAAUCUCCCGGCUCAACCGGGAGGGUGCGCCGAAUACUGAGGAACUAGAGUACGGGAGAGGAAAGUGGAAUUCCUGGUGUAGCGGUGAAAUGCGUAGAUAUCAGGAGGAACACCGGUGGUGUAGACGGCUUUCUGGACCGUAACUGACGCUGAGACACGAAAGCGUGGGUAGCAAACAGG